GCCUGGAUGGCUCAGUAGGUUGAGCGUCUGACUUCAGCUCAGGUCAUGAUGUCACAGUUCAUGAGUUCGAGCCCCGCAUCAGGCU
rnacentral:tRNA from 1 species